UCCGAGUUGACCCCGGCAGUCUUCGAUGAGUCCCCGCCAUCACGCGCUGGCAACAUCGAACGAGGGUUGCGCUCGUUGCGGGACUUAACCCAACAUCUCACGGCACGAGCUGACGACAGCCAUGCAGCACCUGUGUGUCGGCUCCCUUUCGGGCACGCCUCCGUCUCGGGAGGCUUCCGACCAUGUCAAGGGUAGGUAAGGUUUUUCGCGUUGCAUCGAAUUAAUCCACAUAAUCCACCGCUUGUGCGGGUCCCCGUCAAUUCCUUUGAGUUUUAACCUUGCGGCCGUACUCCCCAGGCGGGGAACUUACUCCGUUAGGUGCGGCACCGGCGGUAACCCGCCGACACUUAGUUCCCAUCGUUUAGGGCGUGGACUAC
rnacentral:misc_RNA from 1 species